rnacentral:lncRNA from 1 species
AAUAAUAAUAAUAAUAAUAAUAAUAAUAAUAAUAAUAAUAAUAAUAAUAAUAAUAAUAUAUCUUGUGGAAGGGAUAGAUAAAGGGUUGAAAAUUAAGUCACCUGUUAACGGUGGUUACAAUCAAAUCAGCCAUCGUUCAAGUCUUCAACAAGAGGACAGACAUAUGAGAUAAAUUAUCGCGGAGCUUGAGUAGCAGGAAAAACAUCGGUGCUGGUAUAGACCAGACCAGGGGAACAAAAGUGGAAUUACAACUUAGUACAUCUAAAAUAAUAAUUAAUCUCUCUUGUAACUCCAAAUAAGUAACUGCUUUGAUUUUAACAUUCCCCUAAUAGUAGUGGAAAGGAUAGAUAAAAUGGUGGAAAAUUAAGUCACCUGUUAAGAUAUGAUUCCAUCGUUCAAGUCUUGAACAACAACACAUAAGAGAGAAAUUGGAAGUCGCGAAGUUUGAGUAGCAGAAAUUGUAGGAAAAAAAAAAGUAUACUAUAGAUAAGGGGAAGGGACAAAAGUGUAAUUACAAACGAGGGUGCAUCACAGCUGUCUAAAAGGAAAAGCAAAUAAUGAAGAAAGAAGUUGACUUUUUUAACAAGUGAAUAAGCAUUUUCUUUUUUCAAUUUGUGUCCAUAGGUCUUUUUAAAUUUUU